AAUCCGCGUUUUAGUUACUUAUUUUGAAAUGUAAAUCUAGAACAAAAGAAAAAUCAUGAGGGAUAUUUACGUUUUAGUUACUUAUUUUGAAAUGUAAAUGGUUUUGAAUGCUGGUGGUGAUAGUCCUAAUGAAGGUUUUAGUUACUUAUUAUGAAAUGUAAAUUUGGUUCCUUUGGAAAACAACAAUAACGUGUAGUAUUGUUUUAUUCAAUCAUUCAGAAUUGGUAAAUGCAGAAGCAGCAAAAUAACCAAAAGUAAUGACUUUCGUUUUAAUUUCUUAAGAUGAAAUAUAAAUGAAAACCUGUUAUACAUAGGAUUAUCUAUUUCCGUUAUAAUUAUUCCUUGCAA
rnacentral:sRNA from 1 species